CCUACGGGUGGCUGCAGUGGGGAAUAUUGGACAAUGGGGGCAACCCUGAUCCAGCCAUGCCGCGUGUGUGAAGAAGGCCCUCGGGUUGUAAAGCACUUUCAGUGAGGAAGAACGCCUGGUGGUUAAUACCCAUCAGGAAAGACAUCACUCACAGAAAAAGCACCGGCUAACUCCGUGCCAGCAGCCGCGGUAAUACGGAGGGUGCGAGCGUUAAUCGGAAUUACUGGGCGUAAAGCGCGCGUAGGUGGCUUGAUAAGCCGGUUGUGAAAGCCCCGGGCUCAACCUGGGAACGGCAUCCGGAACUGUCAAGCUAGAGUGCAGGAGAGGAAGGUAGAAUUCCCGGUGUAGCGGUGAAAUGCGUAGAGAUCGGGAGGAAUACCAGUGGCGAAGGCGGCCUUCUGGACUGACACUGACACUGAGGUGCGAAAGCGUGGGUAGCAAACAGGAUUAGAUACCCUAGUAGUC
rnacentral:rRNA from 1 species